CUGCAGUUUUAUAUCAAUUAAAAAAAUGACAAUAGUAAUGAGAGACAUAGGAGGCCUGCUUAUACCUAGUGGAGCUCAAAAUAGAGUAAACAUAGUAUAGUAUAGUUUUCCCCUACUUAUUCGUAAUUUCGAGAUAUAAAUCCCUUUAGUGGGAGUAAUACCCAGUUAGUAAGAAAAAGUAGUGACAGAUACCAUGUAGAAUUGCUACAUAUUUGGACACUGGAUACUUAGUAGGCAGAUUAUCCAGCAAAUAAUAGCGAAAAAAGGAACGAUAUAAAUG